UCCAAGGACCCUCUCCAGACCCAGCCUCCGGAUUGAGCCAGGCUCUGUGAUCGCCCUGGGCAGGCCUGGGGCCCUGUGGUGUCAGGAGACCCUGGAGGCCCAGGAGUGCCGCGGUAUAGAGAGAGAAUCCCAGAGCCCUGGGACAGAGCGAUGCCCCUGGAGCCCGGAAACAAGGCCAAGUUCCCCACCCUCUCAUGGCUGAGGUGUACGCGGGGCGCUACCGCUGUGUCUGCCUCAGCGCUGCUGGCUGCUCAGAGCCCAGUGCCGCCCUGGAGCUGGGGUGACAGUGAGGAAGCCACACCCGAGCAGGAGCUGGGAUGCACGUGGAGGCCUUGACGGAUGCAGGAACGCAGGGUUCGUGAGUGCACCCCAGGAUCAGGCCAGCUGGAGCGAGAGAAAGAGGUGAGUACAGGGGCACAACACACACGCCAUAGAGAAAACCCUCCAUGGGGGCCUCAGCGAUCCAGGUCAUCCAGGGGAGGGGAGCACGCAACCUAGAGGCCACGGGAGACCAGGAAGUCCCGUGGUCAGACCCUGCCACGGCAGCCACAGGCGACUCAAACUCAGGGAAUUCUUUAAGCUGAUGAUCAGGACGGGCCCGGAAUGGUGCUGCCAACAUCCAAACGGCCCUUGGGAGAAACAACGUCCCCAGCCCCAUCCUCCUCCCCAUGCCUCAUCUGCCAGCCAGAG
rnacentral:lncRNA from 1 species